UGGCGGCGUGGUUAAGACAUGCAAGUCGAACGAGAGAAUUGCUAGCUUGCUAAUAAUUCUCUAGUGGCGCACGGGUGAGUAACACGUGAGUAACCUGCCCCCGAGAGCGGGAUAGCCCUGGGAAACUGGGAUUAAUACCGCAUAGCAUCGAAAGAUUAAAGCAGCAAUGCGCUUGGGGAUGGGCUCGCGGCCUAUUAGUUAGUUGGUGAGGUAACGGCUCACCAAGGCGAUGACGGGUAGCCGGUCUGAGAGGAUGUCCGGCCACACUGGAACUGAGACACGGUUCAGACACCUACGGGUGGCAGCAGUCGAGAAUCAUUCACAAUGGGGGAAACCCUGAUGGUGCGACGCCGCGUGGGGGAAUGAAGGUCUUCGGAUUGUAAACCCCUGUCAUGUGGGAGCAAAUUAAAAAGAUAGUACCACAAGAGGAAGAGACGGCUAACUCUGUGCCAGCAGCCGCGGUAAUACAGAGGUCUCAAGCGUUGUUCGGAAUCACUGGGCGUAAAGCGUGCGUAGGCUGUUUCGUAAGUCGUGUGUGAAAGGCGCGGGCUCAACCCGCGGACGGCACAUGAUACUGCGAGACUAGAGUAAUGGAGGGGGAACCGGAAUUCACGGUGUAGCA
rnacentral:rRNA from 1 species